GACGAACGCUGGCGGCGUGCCUAAUACAUGCAAGUAGAACGCUGAAGAGAGGAGCUUGCUCUUCUUGGAUGAGUUGCGAACGGGUGAGUAACGCGUAGGUAACCUGCCUUGUAGCGGGGGAUAACUAUUGGAAACGAUAGCUAAUACCGCAUAACAAUGGAUGACACAUGUCAUUUAUUUGAAAGGGGCAAUUGCUCCACUACAAGAUGGACCUGCGUUGUAUUAGCUAGUAGGUGAGGUAACGGCUCACCUAGGCGACGAUACAUAGCCGACCUGAGAGGGUGAUCGGCCACACUGGGACUGAGACACGGCCCAGACUCCUACGGGAGGCAGCAGUAGGGAAUCUUCGGCAAUGGGGGCAACCCUGACCGAGCAACGCCGCGUGAGUGAAGAAGGUUUUCGGAUCGUAAAGCUCUGUUGUAAGUCAAGAACGAGUGUGAGAGUGGAAAGUUCACACUGUGACGGUAGCUUACCAGAAAGGGACGGCUAACUACGUGCCAGCAGCCGCGGUAAUACGUAGGUCCCGAGCGUUGUCCGGAUUUAUUGGGCGUAAAGCGAGCGCAGGCGGUUUGAUAAGUCUGAAGUUAAAGGCUGUGGCUCAACCAUAGUUCGCUUUGGAAACUGUCAAACUUGAGUGCAGAAGGGGAGAGUGGAAUUCCAUGUGUAGCGGUGAAAUGCGUAGAUAUAUGGAGGAACACCGGUGGCGAAAGCGGCUCUCUGGUCUGUAACUGACGCUGAGGCUCGAAAGCGUGGGGAGCGAACAGGAUUAGAUACCCUGGUAGUCCACGCCGUAAACGAUGAGUGCUAGGUGUUGGAUCCUUUCCGGGAUUCAGUGCCGCAGCUAACGCAUUAAGCACUCCGCCUGGGGAGUACGACCGCAAGGUUGAAACUCAAAGGAAUUGACGGGGGCCCGCACAAGCGGUGGAGCAUGUGGUUUAAUUCGAAGCAACGCGAAGAACCUUACCAGGUCUUGACAUCCCGAUGCUAUAUCUAGAGAUAGAAAGUUACUUCGGUACAUCGGUGACAGGUGGUGCAUGGUUGUCGUCAGCUCGUGUCUUGAGAUGUUGGGUUAAGUCCCGCAACGAGCGCAACCCCUAUUGUUAGUUGCCAUCAUUCAGUUGGGCACUCUAGCGAGACUGCCGGUAAUAAACCGGAGGAAGGUGGGGAUGACGUCAAAUCAUCAUGCCCCUUAUGACCUGGGCUACACACGUGCUACAAUGGUUGGUACAACGAGUUGCGAGUCGGUGACGGCAAGCUAAUCUCUUAAAGCCAAU
rnacentral:rRNA from 1 species